UACGGGGGGGGCAAGCGUUGUUCGGAAUUACUGGGCGUAAAGGGCGCGUAGGCUGUCAGUUAAGUCUGGUGUGAAAGUCAAAGGCUCAACCUUUGAAUGCCGCUGGAAACUGGCUGACUUGAGUCCGGAAGGGGCGAGUGGAAUUCCUGGUGUAGCGGUGAAAUGCGCAGAUAUCAGGAGGAACACCAAUGGCGAAGGCAGCUCGCUGGAACGGUACUGACGCUGAGGCGCGAAAGCGUGGGGAGCGAACAGG
rnacentral:rRNA from 1 species